rnacentral:rRNA from 1 species
GACGUAGGGAGCAAGCGUUGUCCGGAAUUACUGGGCGUAAAGAGCUCGUAGGCGGGAGCGUGCGUCUGAAAGGAGAUCUCAGGGCUCAACUCUGGGGCUUUUUCAGAUACGGCGCUUCUUGAGUGUAACAGAGGAAAGCAGAAUUCCCGGUGUAGCGGUGAAAUGCGUAGAUAUCGGGAGGAAUACCAGUGGCGAAGGCGGCUUUCUGGGUUACCACUGACGCUGAGGAGCGAAAGCGUGGGGAGCGAACGGGAUUAGAUACCCCAGUA